UUAUUCCUUAUUCUUUUGGCCUAUUUUUCUGUAUUUUUAUAUUUUUUGCCCUUUUUUCCGUAGUUUUGUCCCGUUAUUCUCUAUUCCGUAAACCCCAUCCAGACCCUCAAGUAUUGGUAUUUUUUAAACUUGUUUCAUAGAUAGCAGAAUAUUAUGUAGAUAAGUCCGACUAAGUAGUCCUAAAAAUAUAAUUGAUCAUGCUUUGUUAUUAUGUAAAUUUCGUACGACCGUGCAAGACCCUCAUGGGUAGUCAAGGUCGUUAAAAUAAACCCUCGUCGUAUACAGAUAAUUUACAAAUCACUUGCUUAUCUAUUUCUUCAAUAGGUCCAAUUAAUUAAUUACUGUAACAGUAAGGUUGAUAAUACGUUUACGUACAUGUAUACCUUGAAACAUUUACAAACAUUAAGGAAUUGAAUGCUUCAUUUUUUUUUUAAAUUCUAUUGGGGUGAAAACGCGUUGACCGAAGCAAAUUGUGUAUGAAGCGCGGAAAUUAAGAGUUAUAUCAAGAUUUCCGUUUGUUUUCCUUUGUAUAGUAGUCAAGUUGUCAUUGAAAGCACGUGCAGUCAAAAAUGUUGAAAUUUUCUUGAGAAAUACAACUUGAUAUUAGAAUGCCUGCGCGAUUUCUUUCUACCAAUAAAAAGUACGGAUUCUUAUGAAACAAAGAUGUGAUGUAAUAAUUUAUGAAUGAAAUCGGAUAAAUGUCAAUGGAAUUGCAAAUACACCAAGACACAAACAUAUACAAUUAAAAAAGAUCGUAGUACAUGUAACUGUAAUGGGACAAUUUCAAACAUGUGAAGCUUCAUACGUUGUGAUAACCACUAUAUAUAUAUUUAUUAAUCAAAAUAGAAGAAACAAAUCUGAAAAUAUGGAAGACAAGGGUUGUGACUAAAGACAGUCGAAAAGUAACACAAUGAAACUUACAAAAAGGGAAAUUCAGCAUAUUUGCAUGUGCACAUAUCAUGUCUGUGUGUUAUUGUAUACAUGUAUUUUAGACACCAAGGAUAUACAUUCGCUCAUCAUUGAUAAAAAAAAAAAGCUUUAGCGUUCUGGUGUCAUCAAGAAGAUCUAAGAAAAUGUGAUGGAGGGGAAGGCAAACCGGUGUUGUUUUUCGAACCUGGAGGUCCAUAACAUUGCGAAAAAGACCAAACAAAAAAAUAAUAGUUAAGCCUGGUAUUGCUACCACUUCUACUUCUUCUACUUCUACCGUAUAGUGACCGCCUUCAACUAAUUGAAGAUUAUGUCACAAGAGGAAACUUACAAUAAGACAUAUAUUGAUAUAUAUACAAAUUUAAAAAUAGAGGAAAAAUGAGAAAUGCAAUGUAUAAUUAGUUUGAUGUAAUAGUUGAGUUAAUAUUGAUGCUUUAAAAUUGAAGAUUUGAAAGAGUCUACUGAUGUGCAAUUUAAAAUGUUAUCAGGUAGUUUGUUCCAGUCGGUUAUAGUUCUUGGAAAAAAUGGAUUCUUUUGUGUACUGUGUUUUGCAGGAUGGAAUUUGGAAGCUGUUUGAAUUUGAAUGUCUUGUUUGUCUUUUUUGUGGAAUUAAUUUAUUAUUUUUAGGUAUUGCAACCUUUUCGUGUUCUAUUUUGUUACCAAAUCUUGCAUGUGAGCUUGAACAACUUGACUGAGGGAGCAGUUAUUCACGAAACAAUAUUUCUGGAACCUUUACAACAACUUACAACUUGUAGAAGUCCUAUUUCAGGGUCUUCGUAGAUUUUUUUUUUCUAAAUAGAUAUUAUAUAAUUUUUUAACUGUCUAACUAUUUAUUUUUGUUUUAUCGAUAUCUGGUUGUUUGUCUGUGUUGUUAUGUCUACUCCGAUGAUACUGUUAUUAUGAUUUUUUAUUCUUAAACAAAGAUACUGAUGUUAUUGUAAUAAAAUGCGACAUUGA